CGUAGAUCUCAACCCCGAAA
rnacentral:misc_RNA from 1 species